UACGAGGGGUGCAAGCGUUGCUCGGAAUUAUUGGGCGUAAAGGGUAGGUAGGUGGUCUGAUUUGUCUGGGGUGAAAGCCUUGAGCUUAACUCAAGAAGUGCCCCAGAAACGGUCAGACUCGAGUCCUGGAGAGGGUCGUGGAAUUCCCGGUGUAGCGGUGAAAUGCGUAGAGAUCGGGAGGAACACCAGUGGCGAAGGCGGCAUCCUGGACCGACACUGACGCUGAGGAGCGAAAGCCAGGGGAGCAAACGGG
rnacentral:rRNA from 1 species